CAUGUGUAUUUAAAUUUUAAAUGGGUGCUUAAUAUAUUACCAUUGUUAAUCAAUUUAUUAAUGUCGAGAUACAAUUCUCGAAUUUCCUCUAGAACUUUAUAAACUGCGUGCGCCAUACAUGUAAUAUGAAUUAAUUUCGGGAAAAAUAUGCUUAAUGGUUUUGCUGCUUUGAUUAUAUAUGGUAUGUACCAGCAUCACUAAUAAAAAGUAAU